GCGCCGGGGGUCCCCGGGAGGCGCAGGGGGGCCGUGAGGACACGUUUAGGGAGGGGGGGGGGACGGAAGCUGAGUGCGGGAAGGGGGCCGCCCCCGGGGGACGGGGCUCGACGCGGGGGCGCAGAGCGGGCACCCGGAAGGGAGGCGGUGGGGGCGCUGGGCGCCUGCACAGAGAGGGCCCCGGCGGGGCUGGGCCAGGACCGGGGCCCGACCCGCCUGAACACGUGCGGCGGCGGGGCGACCCGGGGGCGCAGCCGGCGUCGGCCCCCGCCCGCAGCCCGAGUGCGGUCCCCUGCCCGGCGGCCCCGCUUACCUGCCGGCCGCGGCGGCGGGGCGGGCGCUCGGGGCGUCGCGUCGCCGCCGCCUGGGCGGGAGCCGGGCCGAGCUGGACGAGGCGGCGCGGGGGGGCGCCGGCGGUGCGCCUGCGCGUGCGCGAGGGGCGGGGCGGCGGCGAGGCGGGGCGAGCGCACAAAGCCGGCCUCUCUGAGGGGUACUACGGGGAGCGGCGAGGGUCAGGAUACCUCGGGCAGGCCAGACGCCUUAAAGGAUCGGCUCGCAGAGCGUGCCUUCGCCUCCGAAGCGGUAACCCCAAAGUUGGCCAGUACAGGUCUUUCUACUGCAAUCCAAAAACGGAAGUAUGAUGAUACCUCCAGGAAAGUGCUAGUGUGCCCCUCGAAAGUUCACCUCCUGAGCCCGGCCUGCAGCGGCGCCCCUCCCCCUAGGAGUCGAAGGGCGGCCGUUUCUCCCGAGACCCUCACUCUGGGGUCGCCGCUCCGCUUCCCCGUCGCUCCCGCACCUGACAGCGGCAGCCAAGCGCGUGCACAGCAGCCGGCCCGGGCUGAUCGCUCCACGCAUGCCCGGCACCUCGGCACACAGGGACCCUUUCAGAACCCCCCCCCCCCGCCCCCGGAAGCGAGGACCCUGAGCCCACAAGGCCAGGGGUGCCGGUGCCCGCGGGAAGCCACGGUCAGGGGCGGUCCGUACCAGCAGUCCCCGCGUGCAGGCCUCUCUGCUGUCUGCAAGGUGGGGUCCCAGACAGCGUGUCACCGUCAGUUACAAACGGGGAAGGGGAACCUCGGAGGGGAGGGCUGGGGCAAACGGAGAACCUGUUGGAGCCCGUGUUCUGGUCCCAAGUCCUGUGCAUUCUCACCCGCUGCCCCCCUCCCGCUACCCGCGUGA
rnacentral:lncRNA from 1 species